CAGAAAUUGAGAUACAUUGCUGUCAAACAUUCUGUAGACUUGAAAAUGAGAAACAUUUCAUCAACAGAACAGAUGAAAAUAGCAAACAGGAAGUUUUCAAGAGAUUGUUACCUCAAAUCUGAAGUGGUUCAAUGCAAAACAUGAGCUUCAUUCAAUGCUGGCCCUGCAUGGUAUUCACAAAGUGCCUUUAAUAGAUGAAAACUUAAUGGGAAUAAAUUUACCUGAUGUUUAGGUAAUGUUUGAUGCUUCCAGUUAUGGAUAUUUUGAAAAAAAGGUGAAAAUGAAGGAAGGACAUCAACACACACGAACUUUUUUAUUUAUUGAUUAUAAAAUUGAGGAGAGAGAGUCAAAUAUCAUUUUAAAAUAUGAAAUGUGUGAAAGGCAGAGAGAGAGAGUCAGCUAGGUUUUGUGAAGAUUAAAUUUGUUCAUUUUAAAGCUCACUCAUGCUUAUCUUCAAUGUUUGAUUAAAAAUGUUUUUCUUUUUCUUCAAAAUUCAUUGUUAAAAUGUGAGAUAGUUAGAAUAUUCCUUUGUAAAGAUUUAUCCUGUUUAAACCUUAAAGCUCAUAAUAUUGUUUCCAUUUUUACGAGCUGUUUGACUAUAGACGGUCACUGCUAGUUUUUUGUUUGUUUGUAUUUAUGGUUUAAACAAGAUUAAUCUAAGAGGAAUUGCAGUGUAUGAAAGAGAGAAAGAAGGACUAUGUAAAGGUCUAUUCUUUUUUCAGCAAAACAGCAGGUUCUUCUUUAUAACUUUUUGUAUUGGAAUAAUCAAGCACCUGCCAAUUUGCUUAAAUUGGAUAAAUCUUGGAUGAGUAUUACAUUGUGUAUUGAAAAUUGUAUUUUUAUACAUACUAAAAAAUUUAGAUCAUAAAUUUUCAUUUUAUAUCUAAAUUAUCACACUUGUGCAAUAUAUUAAGUGUACCAUUACUUAUAUAUAUAUUUUUUUAUUAGUUUUCAACACGGGAAGUGAAAUCUAAGAUGAAUGAGGAGCUAAUAGGUUGAAGUUAUGGCAAUUAAGGGGAGGGAAUAAACCUAUUUACCUCCUAAUACUGGUUUCUUCCUAUGAUGAAAGUUAAUUUAUCAUACUUGUAUUAUUUACAUGUAAUAUAUUUAAGGGACACAGAUGUUAUCAAAAUUUGCCAUUUUGUAGAGCUUAGUAAAGAAAUAAUGUAAACAAAAGAAAAAGAAAAAAAAAGAAGAUAAAAGAAAAAACUGUAAACUAAGUUCUAGGAAAUGGCAGUAUGGGAUUUUCUGAAAUUUAUAAGUUGUAUUGGAUCGAUUAUUCUUACAACUUAAUACAUCUGGUGUGUGUGAGGGAGAGAAAGAUAUUUUGUGGAGGUUUAUUUUCUUUCAGCCAAACAGCAUGCAGGCACUUCUUACAACUUUUUGUAGAGCUGGUCUCAAACAAGUUGCCAAAAUUAACCUGUCAUUUGGUUUAGAUAAGAUAAAUCUAGAAUUGGAAGAUAGUAUUUUGAGAUGCUACUAAUUUUCUUUGAUUUGUUUUAUGGCUUGAAUCUAUGAACAAAGAAUAUACACUUGAAUAUGACAUGGGUCAAAAUUUAAUAAAUCAGCUCUCAUUUUUUUUAAACAUCACAGUGAUGUUCUAUUCUAUGGGUAUCUAUGUCAUUUGUGAAACCUUUCAACACAGAAAGCAAAAUCCAGUUGUGAUGAAUGAGGAGCUUAAAUAGGGUGAAGUUUAUGGCAAGGGGGAGGGAAUACACCUAUUUACCUCCUUAUUCUGGUAGCUUCCUUUGGUGAAAGGUAAUUAAUUGGACAUUAAUAGGAGCACAUCAGAUGUAAUCAAAAUUUGCCAUUUUGUAGAGCUUAGUAAAAACUGUAAACUAAGUUAUAGGAAAUGGCAGU